GAUCGCACCACACUGUAAACAUAGCAGGAAGAUUAUGUGAAGUUCAAAGCCCCAACUGACAGACUGACUUCAAAAAGUCUAACGCAAACGAACCGCUCAAGUGCCCCACCGCGGCGCUAAAAGAUUACGGAUAACUCGGUGUUUUUGUUUACCCAACCUGGUUUACCUUGUCCUGUCAACAACAACAACAAAAAAAAGUGUAUUCCCACAAAAGCCAAGUAACCCGGUGAAUCUUUGAGAGUGCCAGAAUCUUCCCCCGGCUCCUGCCACAGAUAAAGCAGCUGAGCAGAAACGUAAUCCUGCCCACCAUCUCUCCACAUCUGAUAAUGUUGCCAUAUCGUAACAUAAUGAGCACACAUAUUCUCAGAAGGCCUGGAGCGUUCUUGCAUUGACACUUGCUCCUGAAAAGACAGACUCUCUCUCUGUGUGUGUGUGUGUGUGUGUGUGUGUGUGUGUGUGUGUGUGUGUGUGUGUGUGUGUGUGUGUGUGUGUGUGUGUGUGUGUGUGUGCAUGUGCGUGUGCGUGUGUGCGGGUGUGUGUGUGUGUCUGCUGACUCUCUGCCUCUCUCUGGUUGCACAAAGCUGCUGCAGGCAUCAUGUUCCGAAGAGUAACCGUCUGGCGUCGUGUUGAAUACAGACCCAUGUAUUAGAUACAGGCAGACAUGUCCACAGGAAUUGUGAAGCUGUCACACUACUAGCUGAGGGGUGCUGAUUGCAGAGAUUUAUAGUAAACAAUUUGAAAUAUUAUGCCUAUUGCUUUAAGUUAGGAACAUGACUAAGAAGUCAAUCUGGUUAUGCUACAUGUGUGUUAAUCUCAUUCAAAGUUGCAUCACUGCAAUAGGGAAACUUGUUAGAGCAGUUUACAGCACAGACAGAUCAUACUCAAAAUAGCACAACUCACUGGUGACAUUGUAAAGUGCCCUCAGAAAAUAUUCUAAUCAAAGCAGAGAGAAGAUUUUUCUCCCUAUGAAUUUCAAAGUCUCAAACUCUCAGUUGCAUCAGAUCCAAUAGCUUAAUCAUACAGAUAUUUUCUGACUCACUGUUACAGGUUAGAUAGAUUUAAGCUUUUACAUUUAAACCUGAUUUCCUACCUCCUGUUCAUUGCAUAUAUUUCUUUCUUGUUUAGAAAGUAAUUUAAGUCAUAUAAAAGUCAUGGUAUACAUCCCUUUCCUGCAGUCGAUCGCCCUCUAGUGGCCUCAUAGGUGGAAUGUUAUUCAUAUUUUUCAUAAUUAAUAAACUAUGUCGAACUGUUGUGUUAUA